rnacentral:tRNA from 1 species
GCGGGUGUAGUUCAGUGGUAGAAUGUCUGCUUCCCAAGCAGAAGAUCGCCGGUUCGAACCCGGUCACCCGCU